AGAGCGAACGCUGGCGGCAGGCCUAAUACAUGCAAGUCGAACGGAUCCUUCGGGAUUAGUGGCGGACGGGUGAGUAACACGUGGGAACGUACCCUUUGGUUCGGAACAACUCAGGGAAACUUGAGCUAAUACCGAAUGUGCCCUUCGGGGAAAAGAUUUAUCGCCAUUGGAGCGGCCCGCGUCUGAUUAGCUAGUUGGUAGGGUAAAGGCCUACCAAGGCUACGAUCAGUAGCUGGUCUGAGAGGAUGAUCAGCCACACUGGGACUGAGACACGGCCCAGACUCCUACGGGAGGCAGCAGUAGGGAAUCUUGCGCAAUGGGCGAAAGCCUGACGCAGCCAUGCCGCGUGAAUGAUGAAGGUCUUAGGAUUGUAAAAUUCUUUCAGCGGGGACGAUAAUGACGGUACCCGCAGAAGAACGCCCCGGCUAACUUCGUGCCAGCAGCCGC
rnacentral:rRNA from 1 species